AUGACUCUCAUCACCAUCCUCAUCUGGACGCUGGUCUGCUGCUGUUUUACAGGAUGCAGCGGUCAGGUGACUGUGACUCAGCCUCCAGUACUCACAUCUACUCCAGAAUCCACUGUCACUCUGACCUGUAAGACCAGCCAAGCUGUUAAUACGUGUAGUCCUCCUUGCUUGGCCUGGUAUCAACAGAAAUCUGGACAGACUCCAAAGCUCCUUAUAAAAUACGUGAGCACACUUGAAUCAGGAACACCAGCUCGGUUUAGUGGCAGUGGAAGCGGCUCUGACUUCUCUUUGACCAUCAGUGGAGUUCAGGCUGAAGAUGCAGCAGUUUACUACUGUCAGAGUCUCCACUAUAUAAACAGUGCUUAUGUGUUCACACAGUGA